UGCGGAAGGAUCAUUAAAGAGUAAGGGUGCUCAGCGCCCGACCUCCCAACCCCUUUGUUGUUAAAACUACCUUGUUGCUUUGGCGGGACCGCUCGGUCUCGAGCCGCUGGGGAUUCGUCCCAGGCGAGCGCCCGCCAGAGUUAAACCAAACUCUUGUUAUUAAACCGGUCGUCUGAGGUUAAAAUUUUGAAUAAAUCAAAACUUUCAACAACGGAUCUCUUGGUUCUCGCAUCGAUGAAGAACGCAGCGAAAUGCGAUAAGUAAUGUGAAUUGCAGAAUUCAGUGAAUCAUCGAAUCUUUGAACGCACAUUGCGCCCCUUGGUAUUCCGAGGGGCAUGCCUGUUCGAGCGUCAUUACACCACUCAAGCUAUGCUUGGUAUUGGGUGCCGUCCUUAGUUGGGCGCGCCUUAAAGACCUCGGCGAGGCCUCACCGGCUUUAGGCGUAGUAGAAUUUAUUCGAACGUCUGUCAAAGGAGAGGACUUCUGCCGACUGAAACCUUUUAUUUUUCUAGGUUGACCUCGGAUCAGGUAGGGAUACCCGCUGAACUUAAGCAUA
rnacentral:rRNA from 1 species